rnacentral:rRNA from 1 species
GAUGAACGCUGGCGGCGUGCUUAACACAUGCAAGUCGAACGAAGCAGUCAUUAAGAAGCAUUUCGGUGCAGAUUGAUGACUGACUGAGUGGCGGACGGGUGAGUAACGCGUGGAUAACCUGCCUCAUACAGGGGGAUAACAGUUAGAAAUGACUGCUAAUACCGCAUAAGCGCACAGAAUCGCAUGAUUCAGUGUGAAAAACUCCGGUGGUAUGAGAUGGAUCCGCGUCUGAUUAGCUAGUUGGAGGGGUAACGGCCCACCAAGGCAACGAUCAGUAGCCGGCCUGAGAGGGCGACCGGCCACAUUGGGACUGAGACACGGCCCAAACUCCUACGGGAGGCAGCAGUAGGGAAUUUUUCGCAAUGGGGGGAACCCUGACGGAGCAAUGCCGCGUGAGUGAAGAAGGUCUUCGGAUUGUAAAGCUCUGUUGUACAGGAAGAAUGUCAAUAGUAGGAAAUGGCUAUUGAGUGACGGUACUGUACCAGAAAGGGACGGCUAACUACGUGCCAGCAGCCGCAGUAACAC